rnacentral:rRNA from 1 species
UGGCAGCAGUGGGGAAUUUUGCGCAAUGGGCGAAAGCCUGACGCAGCAACGCCGCGUGAGUGAUGAAGGCCUUCGGGUCGUAAAGCUCUGUCAGAAGGGAAGAAAUGGAAGGGUGUUAAUACCAUCUUUUCUUGACGGUACCUUCAAAGGAAGCACCGGCUAACUCCGUGCCAGCAGCCGCGGUAACACGUAGGGGGCGAGCGUUGUUCGGAAUCAUUGGGCGUAAAGGGCGCGCAGGCGGCGUGUAAAGUCUGGCGUGGAAGUCCCCGGCUCAACUGGGGGAUUGCGUUGGAAACUGGCACGCUUGAGUACGAAAGGGGAUGGCGGAAUUCCAGGUGUAGGGGUGAAAUCUGUAGAUAUCUGGAGGAACACCAACGGCGAAGGCAGCCAUCUGGUUCAGUACUGACGCUGAGGCGCGAAGGUGCGGGGAGCAAACAGGAUUAGAUACCC